AUUGAACGCUGGCGGCAUGCCUUACACAUGCAAGUCGAACGGUAACGCGGGGCAACCUGGCGACGAGUGGCGAACGGGUGAGUAAUAUAUCGGAACGUGCCCAGUAGUGGGGGAUAGCCCGGCGGAAGCCGGAUUAAUACCGCAUGAGACCUGAGGGUGAAAGCGGGGGAUCGCAAGACCUCGCGCUAUUGGAGCGGACGAUAUCAGAUUAGCUAGUUGGUGGGGUAAAGGCCUACCAAGGCAACGAUCUGUAGUUGGUCUGAGAGGACGACCAGCCACACUGGGACUGAGACACGGCCCAGACUCCUACGGGAGGCAGCAGUGGGGAAUUUUGGACAAUGGGCGCAAGCCUGAUCCAGCAAUGCCGCGUGCAGGAAGAAGGCCUUCGGGUUGUAAACUGCUUUUGUCAGGGAAGAAAUCUUCUGGGUUAAUACCUCGGGAGGAUGACGGUACCUGAAGAAUAAGCACCGGCUAACUACGUGCCAGCCGCCGCAGUAAAAC
rnacentral:rRNA from 1 species